UGUUGUCAUGGCGGAGCGGAGAUUGUCCAGGGUUUCCUGAUGAUACUCAUGAGAUCCGUGAGAGAAAUUGAAUCGAGCCACGUUCAUUCCGGCCCUCAGCAGCUUCUCUACCAUCGCCACCGAUCUCGAUGCCGGCCCAAGCGUGCACACAAUCUUCGUCUUCGGCCUCUUCUCUACUCCAUUAUCCUUCAUCAUCUCCAUUUCCUCGCACGCAAUCGAAUCGAUCUAGAGAGCGCGCGGUUAUACGAGGGUCAAACGAGGAGUUUCGAAACGUUUACAUACGCAAACCGUGAUGCUGGUAGGUGUGGAGAGAGAGAGAGAGAGAGAGGACCUGGUUAUUGGCCCCAGUUGAAGCCCACUUGAAUUUUUUUUUCUAUUUUCUUGGGUGACAAGUCCAUCAAUACAUAAAAUAAAAUAAAAAAAUAAAGAAGAAGAAGAAGAAGGUCGUCUUUUCCCGCUUGCUUGGGCUACUUUGCUAUUUAAAAUGAAUUCAUUUAAGAAAGAUUUAUUUAUUUAUUUUCCCAUCUAAACUAGGAGUCAUAAGACUUAUUCUUUUCACUUGUAAAAAAAUAGAUAAUUAAUUUUUGCAUUUUUACACUCCAAAAUAGGAAUGUAGAAAUCAAUAACAUAAUGGUGUUAAUUUCUAAACUCCUAUUUUAAAGUGUAAAAAUUAAAAAUGAAAGUGCGAAAAUCACUUCCCAAAAAAUACUUGGUGAAAACUUCAUACCCAGCCGCCUCAUAAGAAGCAUUCUAACAAGAAAGAUUUUCUGUUCAUGAAUUAUGGGAAGCUGUCAAAGUUUUUUGCAGAGUCGUCGUAUCCCCAUGACCAUGACCAUGGGUUUCAGUUCACUUUGACAGGAAGGGAAUUGUGGGCCAUCAUCAUGUCUGUGGAAGAGCAUUUCGGUUUCUUAAUUUUGUAGGACUCAUCAUCAUAGGAUUCGCUUCUUCGGAUUUCAUUUUCUCUGUAAGAAUGGGAGUCGUUGGGGUUGGGCCAACUUUUAAAUAAUGAUAGGGGGUGCAUCAGAGGAAGCAUAAAAUGGAAAGAAAACCUAAUGAUCCUUGGUUUGGGUCCUAUCCUAUCCCAUCCUAUGGGAUAUGAUUCCUUUUGAAAUUGAAUUUUCUCCAUUUUGAUUCUCAAGUUUACAAUAAGAAAGAAAAUGAUAUGGAUUCAGAGUCCUUUUUAGACUUCAAAAAUAAAAAUAUAAAACGGAGCUCGAGAAGAAAAUGAAGAGCGUGUUUGAGAAGUUGGUUGGUUGGUUGGGUCGUGGAAUGAGAAGAAGCACAAGUUGUAACGAGGUUAAGAUGGACUCCGACUUGAAUCCAUUUCCAUGAUCCGAUCCUUCAUCUUUCAAGCCCUGAUACAUAUACAUAGAGUAGAUAUAUAAUAUCAUAUCCAUCCUCUCCUAAUUUUAUACAAUACACACCACACCACACCACACCACACCACACGUGCAUGAACUUAGCAAUACCAUCUUGUUUCGAUCAGUCAACUUCUUUUUAUGAAUGCACAGACAGAGAUCUGUCCCGUGGAAGACCCCCUCAAACAACUUUGUACUUAUAAAACGACUUACAAAAUUUACAUAAAUGAAUGACUUCUUCAGUGACUAAUUAUCUUUUUGAAAUACAUUGAAAAUGACUCUAGUAGGAAGAGAUAAUAAAGGAUUAUAAUUUCUAAUAAUAAUUCAGUAGAAAUCCAAACAAGCCACAAACUAGGAGAAAAUCAAAACCAAAUUCAUGCCAACUCCAGAUACUGCAUGAAUCAUAAGAAAAAUUACAGUCCUAGAGUCUAGGGCAAAAGGAAUGUUGUUUCUGAUGACAAAACUACAUGGUCAUCAUCAUAGUCCUAAGUUCAAUUGUGAAAGAAAAUGAGGAUGACAAUACGAAAAAUCAGAUUUUGUGGAAGGUCUAUCCUCGUAAAAACUUCCAUAUUGUUUUGGAGCAGGAACAAUACAAAAAGGAAAAAGUGCUUCCAAGCCUCAACUCACCUUUUCUCCUUCCGUUUCCAUUGAAGCCUCUCGCUCGCUUCACAAUUUGUGAAAAAUCUCACAACACAAUAUCAAGUGACCUCCUAACAAAAUGUAUAAGCAAGCAACUUCGUAUGCUGAUUGCUAUAUAUAAGCCUAGCCAGAGAGUUUUAAGUUCAUCAUGGACCUUGUGGUUGCUCCUUUGUCAUCAAGUCCAGUUUAUCUUGCAGUCCGUCACACGUUCGUUCACAUACUCAAAACACUGAGCUCAUCGGAGAACAAAAACUAAAUACCAUGAAAGUUCCAAAGCAGGAUAGAAUACGUGAAAAUCAGUCUGAUAGGAACAAGUACCUUGAGCUUUUAUUCUACAAAGAGAACUGGGGUAGAUAGCAAUGCUCAUAUCUGCCACAACCAAAAUAACGUAGUUUGCAAGGCAUGGACUACAGCAUACGGAGGAGAAGAGAGAGAGAGAGAGUGAGAG
rnacentral:lncRNA from 1 species